GCGGGUGUGGUCUAGGGGUUAUGACGCGAGCUUCCCAAGCUCGUUGCCCGGGUUCAAUUCCCGGCACCCGCA
rnacentral:tRNA from 1 species